CUGGUGGAAGUUUUCUUUUCACUUCCAAUUUUUGCAUGUCAUCGUGAUGAGAUGUUAUAAUUUCAUCGGUGCAUGCAAGUGCAGCUUCUGAUUCUUAGAUGUUUCUUUUUUGUUGCAAUUGUUAUUUACUUUCCACAAUGUCAUCAUCAUAGGCAUCAAGCAGAAAAGUUUCAACAUGCCCUCUGUGCAAGGCUAGUUUUGUUGCCAUUAGAAAGGCUGAUGAUGCAAUUCCUGCUGAUCAGAAGAUAUACACCCAAACUAUUCCGGACCACAACCCAGAAAUGGACAUAUAUAUACUUCCCGUGGGUGAAACACCAAGAUUCCCUUCUAAUGUAAGUUCAAUGGCAGUUUUCAUUCUAUUCUGUAUGGUGGAGAACAUUACCUCCUGUUUGUUUGUGCUGUAAUAGAUGUGAAUAUCUAUAUCUCAUCAUUGCCAUCGAAGAACAUGUAUUGCCGUAAUAUUGGUUACCUUUUCUGCAUCCAUGUGCCUUCUCUUCCUACAGGUGCAGACAAAAGUCGGAUGCAUGAAUAGCCUAUUCCCCUUUUGGUGUAAUGAGCGUGACUAGGACAUAUUAGUUUCCUGUAUCAAGCUAUUCAAUGUUAUAGAUCAAAGCGAGAAGCAACAGGAAUGCAGCAUAUCGAGCUAAGUUGAAGAUGCCUCAUCAUAUUGGUAGCAAGCCUAUUCAGGAGAUUAUUUAUCAAAAGGUAUUAUCAUAAAAUUUCUAUUUUCCUAGAGGAAAUAUUUAUGAGAUGUUAUUUGACAUGUUUGCUUUUGAUGUAAAGGGCGGGAAAUAUGGCAAUCCACCAAAUUUGGGGACUGUUUUCUUUGAGACUCGUAAGAAAGAUAACAAGCUUAUUGAACCUGAAGCAAUUGAAAAACAUGUAUGUUUGGUAUACUAAAUAUGUAAAUUACUUGAUAGUAUUAGGAAUAACCUAAAUCUGUACCCUUUUAGGUUUGGAACCAGAAAGAGUUCAAAGUCUCACUUGAUUUGGAAUACUUCUUGAUUUACAAGAGACUUUAGUGGAAGUUAAAAAGAAUUAACACCUACAAUCGAUGGAAUUUUUUUUAGUUGGGAACAUAUAAUAGAUGGUAUUGCCACUGGUAAAUUAUUUUGAGGCUUUGCAAGAAUACCUUGUUGUUGUUGCUGAGUAAUUGCCUUAAGAAUACCUCCUGUUGUUGCUACUACUUGCAAAUUUCUCACCCAUUUAGCCCUUGAUUGCACCAGUUGUAUUAGGAAUAACCUGAAUCUGUACCCUUUUAGGAUGAUUAACAAGCAAGUCAACUUCUAACUCUACUCUAGCACAACUUGGCCUUGUCUUAUUCUUAGUAGCCAUAUCCGACUUCAAAGGCUUCCCUAUUGCUGCUGCCAUAGAAAAGAGCUGAGAUUGGCCAAAAUAAUUAGGUGCUAGUGUUGGAAACGAGAUCCAUGCAAUGGUUAUAGUAGUCUCUUCCUCAUGAUUAAACCAAGGAUCCCACUUCAAUGUACGCAUAGGAUAAUACCAUUGCUGCUCGGUGGCCUAAGAGGCCAUGAAAGGCCGAAAAGAGCUCAAAGCUCCAUGGGAGCCGUCAAGGUUUUUUCUUUAUAUUUCUAACUUUGCCACGGGAAACAACGCCUUAAGUUUAAACACUUCCAUUAUGCUUGUCACAGUUAUUGUUUUAGUUGCGUUUUAAAAUAGACUUUGAUUCUUGGUUAAUGCAUCCCGAAACUUUUCUAAUUAAUUUUUCUUAUACUCUUGCAGCCUUGAUGAUUUUGUUGGAUACACCAAAUGAAUUUAUUAGAUUACUUUUGGGGUUUUGAAGAUUGAAUUUGACAAGUCAAGAUGGAAGUUUAGAAGAUGCACAAGCUCAUUAUUUUGCUAGGAAUGUUAGGCACUCGCUAUCGUAGUCUAGCUCGAGUGUUAGCAAUGUUUUUUUUGUUAAGGUGUCGAGCAAAUAUUGAAACUAACAUCAUGGGAUGUUAACAAUUUUACUGUAAUUAAUAACUCUAUCUUCCUCUUUAUAUAUAUAAUGCUUUUGUAUCUAGAUGUUUUAGUAGGAAUUCGAUAUUUAUUGAUAAAAUAAUAUUUUUGUGA